AUAUUACCAUACAGCCGUUUAUAAAAUAUGGGAUUUUUUUCCCGUUAUAAUGCUGAUUGACGGUUUAGCUGCGAGUAGGCCUACACUGAAGCACUGUUCUCAUCUAAGAAACGUUCAUAUUUAACCAGCGAAUGUUAAUGUUGGUUAUACUAGUGGGAAUGUUGCCUACUCGAACACGAACAUAAAUUAAUUUGACUUACUUUUUCGAUUAGUGUUGAUGACAACGUGUCGCCACCGAAUCCUUCACAGUUCUGGCGGUAAACGACUUGUUAUUUGACGAAAGUUAAAAUCCAGUUAAUUUGUGCAAUACCGCCACUUUCUGCUCCGGAGUGCUUCCACAGAAAUCACGGGAAAGCGAACGUGGUCCCUCAUUAUCGAGUGGAGUCACUGUGAGUGUGAACGGUGUGUGAUUCGGUGUCUCUGUUCGGCGGUGCUUCUGGACCUCAUACUUACCUGGCAGGUUGAUUGAUGUAACAACUUCGGAACCACCACAUUAUCUCAGGUUUUACGGGAAGGAGUUUAGGAGAGGCGCGCACACAGAAACAGUUCGGCUAUGAUGGAUGGAGCCGCAGUGGAGCAGGAGCAGAAGAGGAUUUUUUACACCAAAACUGGGAACCAGCAAAAAAUAAAGGUGAACAAUGAUUGGAUUGUUAAGGGAAAAGAACAAAGCAGGUUGCAGGUUGAGAAGUGGUUUACCUCACUACGUUUGCUACCUAGGGUCUACCUAGGAACACGGUUCAUUUCAAGUCGGUAUUGCGUGAGCGGAAGCUAAGCAGGGUCGGGCCUGGUUAGUACUUGGAUGGGAGACCGCCUGGGAAUACCAGGUGCUGGAAGCUUUUCCUCACACAUCUUUACUUCAACCUCCUGCCAAAGGAGCCGAACAUUUUCUUUUUUUUCUUCAUCACCAAAGCAAUACGUGAAGAAAAAGGCCAGCUGAUACUUUCAUUCUGAGUAGAGUAAAACACUUAUCCAUCCUGGCCAUAAAAAAGGAAAUUAUUUAAAUGAAAAAAAUGAAAAAAAAAAAAAAAAAAAAAAAAAAAAAACAGUUCCUUCCACAAUCCAAAGACAUACAAGUGAAGUGAAUUGUAGACACUAAAUUGUCCAGGACUGUGUUCGAUAUAACCUUGUGAACUGAUGAACCUUGUGUAAUAUGUAACAACCGUUCCUGUCAUGAAUGUAAACAAAGUGUAAAA